UACGAAGGGGCUAGCGUUGUUCGGAAUUACUGGGCGUAAAGCGCGCGCAGGCGGCCUUUCAAGUCAGGGGUGAAAGCCCGGAGCUCAACUCCGGAAUUGCCUUUGAAACUGUCAGGCUCGAGUACGGGAGGGGUGAGUGGAAUUCCCAGUGUAGAGGUGAAAUUCGUAGAUAUUGGGAAGAACACCGGUGGCGAAGGCGGCUCACUGGCCCGUUUCUGACGCUCAGGCGCGACAGCGUGGGGAUCGAAACAGG
rnacentral:rRNA from 1 species